AACAAAUAUAGUUUUACUGGCCAUAGCUGCAUUAGUCAUUUACAUAUUGUUUAUGAUUGCUUUCAUUCUACAGAGCUGGUUACCAGUAGCAGACAUGUCCUGAACCAUAAACUUAACUCUUCCUCUCAGGGUGAAGAGAAAUGGCAGUCCCCAAUGCUUCUUUAAUCUCAGUUAGUCACGGGCAUACUUAACUCUCCUUCACGCAAAGCUUUUAUUUAUUCGACAAAUACUUGCUGAGCACACCCCUUUUAAAACAAUGUUUAACUCUGUCUCUGUGGUUAGGGAAGUGCAUUCAGUGCCUGCCCUCAGCUCUCAUCCUUUGGUUGCGAUGGCCUUUGGUGGCUGUGAGGGGAGAAAGGGAAGAGGUCCCAUCCUUGGGUGCUUAGUGCAGCGAGGAGGCUUUGGAGUUAGCGAUUACCAAACACUUUUGUGUGGGUGCGGAUUGGGCUACCGGACUGCCUUGAAUCUCUGCUGCUUGCGCCCCGAAAAGGAAGAGGAUCAGUACCACGUGACCACCGGCGGCAAGCUCCGUUAGGAAAAGAUGUGAAGGUUAGUGAAACAAGAUCAUACUGGAGUUUUUUAGAGAGCCUGGUGACUCAGGGAUGGCUCGGUAAAAAUACCUGUAGACUGAGGUCGUAGAAGCCGUCCUUGGUGACUAAGGUUUCACGUAUCUCAGUUUGUCAAAUUCUUUGUUAAGUGGUUCAAAACAUUGAGAAAGACCUUAGGGCCCUAACAGAAACUUUCUUCUCAAUGACACAGGAGGUCUCCGACUCUGAGUCAGUGGCCCUGGGCUCCAGAGCAAAGUAAGCAUGGGAAUGCAUGGAAUUUAUUUGUAGUUUGCAGGAAAUAAAGUGUUAUUGUUAGGGACGUUUCCUGUCA
rnacentral:lncRNA from 1 species